rnacentral:rRNA from 1 species
UACGUAGGGUGCAAGCGUUAUCCGGAAUUAUUGGGCGUAAAGAGCUCGUAGGCGGUUUGUCGCGUCUGCCGUGAAAGUCCGGGGCUCAACUCCGGAUCUGCGGUGGGUACGGGCAGACUAGAGUGAUGUAGGGGAGACUGGAAUUCCUGGUGUAGCGGUGAAAUGCGCAGAUAUCAGGAGGAACACCGAUGGCGAAGGCAGGUCUCUGGGCAUUAACUGACGCUGAGGCGCGAAAGCCAGGGGAGCAAACGGG